GACGAACGCUGGCGGCGUGCUUAACACAUGCAAGUCGAACGGACAGACAGAGAGCUUGCUCUCUUGAAGUUAGUGGCGAACGGGUGAGUAACGCGUAAUCAACCUGCCCUUCGGAGGGGGAUAACAACGGGAAACCGUCGCUAAUACCGCGUACGAUUCAUGAAGGGCAUCGUUUAUGAAUGAAAGGUGGCCUCUAUGUAUAAGCUAUCGCUGCAGGAGGGGAUUGGGUCGGAUUAGCGAGUUGGAGGGGUAACGGCCAACCAAGGCAAUGAACAGUAGCCGGGCUGAGAGGAUGAACGGCCACAUUGGGACUGAGACACGGCCCAAACUCCUACGGGAGGCAGCAGUGGGGAAUCUUCCGCAAUGGACGAAAGUCUGACGGAGCAACGCCGCGUGAGUGAUGAAGGUCUUCGGAUUGUAAAGCUCUGUUAAUCGGGACGAAAGAGUUCUGCGUGAAUAAUGCAGAAAAGUGACGGUACCGGAAUAGAAAGCCACGGCUAACUACGUGCCAGCCGCCGCGGUAA
rnacentral:rRNA from 1 species